rnacentral:rRNA from 1 species
GGAGUAAUUUAAUUUUGGUUACAGGAGGGUUUUACGGGUAUGCCACAUAGUGCGAUUUUAUAUUAUUUUUUUGUCUGGUUAAUAAUGGCGUUGGUAAGACUAGUGGCUGGAUUUUGCUUACUGAGUGAAAGCUUGAGCGAGUUCCCGUAUGGAGUAGGGUGGUUAAUUCACAGUGCCAGCAGCUGCGGUUAUUCUGUUAGCCUUUCCUUCGUGUCGGUUUAAAUGGUUUGUGAGUGAUUUUGAAAUUAAGGGAGUAGAAUCUUUGUUUUCUCUUUUUAUUUUCUCACAUAUUCUUUGGAGGGCUAUUGGAAGAAUAGGAUUAGAGACCCUAGUAUUGAGUCUUAUUUAUUUUGUGGCUUCGUAGUGUAAACUAAAAAAAUUUGGCAGCCGACGAUCCUCCCCCGGGGGAGCGCGUGGCGUAAUAGAUGGUCCGCUUAUAUCUUUACCACUCUUAGAAUGGGUUAGUGUACGUCCGGUUUAAUACCUCUGAUUAUUGUCUUUAGGUGAAUUUCAGUUAAUUUAGGCCAGGUCAAUGUGCUGCUAAUAGGGUGGUGUCUGUUCGCUACUUUAAUAAAAGGCACACGGGUGAAGAUUUUGUGCGUAUUUAGGACUCGGGAGUAGGUGUGUUUAUUUGGAGAGAUACAUCGAAUUUUGAUUUAGUCGGGGUACACACCGCCCGUCAACCAGGAUGAUUAGUUUUGGUAAGUCGUAACAUGGUAAUGCUGGGGGAACCGGGCGUUAGUUGAUGGGGGGGUUUAUUUUCUUCGUUAUGCAAGUCCG